GUGGUGCGAGCCCCAAGAGAUGGUGGUGCAGUGUAUACUAUUGCACCAGUGGAGGACCUGAGUAAGGCGAUUACGGUUCAUCGGUCAUUGCUUAAAAAUCGAAUACAGAAAGACUUUUCUGGUGUGUCAACUGAUGCAGUUGUGGAACUACCACUGUCGCCUGGGGAUGUUGAAGAGGAAGAGCUUGAUUUGGUUAGGGUGGUGCAGGCACAAGGUGCAGAGAGAUUAAGUGUUGACCAGGGAUCCUCGGCUACCUUGACACGAGGUACUCCUAACCUUUCUGGGGAGUCCUCACAUUUGGUUGCAGUGGGGGCCGAAGGUAGUGAGCUGUGCCUUGAAACUGGACUGGGUUCUUCAAUAGAGCCGGGAAAAGUGUCCGAGGUGAUGCCACGCCGGACUGGUAGAACCACUACUGGUUGCCAUUCCAAUCUUCACCGCCUUCCUCGCCCGGCAGGAGCUUCCCUGCCGUCUAAUUCAGUGUCCAACUGCAUUACUGCUAUCUUUAGGCCCUGGAAGUGACUUCGGCAUGUUUCCUCUUUUUCUGGUGUAAUCACCGGGUCGGUGAUUCAAAAGUGGGGGGUAGAUUGUAGCAGAUGUUUUGCAUGAAGCCUUGGUGUACGCCCAUUACUAACUGCGGGUUGUUAAGAGGUGUAUAAAAGCCUGUCGGAGAAUAGUGGAAGUUGCGUCAUCGUCCAGCUGACUCCCUGUGGUGGGUGUGUCACUGCCGUGCGUUUGGCUGGUGUCUGUUCGGUUGCUGUUGCACCAUAGAGUGGCUACGGUGGGGCGUUGUGAGCUUUGAGAAGUCGUGUUUCCUAGAGCUGAACUCUCCCUCGUGAUUCUGUUGACACUUAUGCACGUUCCCGUGACUGCUGUCUUCCCAAUCGUUAGUUAUUAGUACGGACGCCUGGCUUUGCCGGAGGGAUGACUGGCAUCUCGUGUAGCGAUUGCACUGUGGAUUGAGCGUCUUCACCUGCCCUUGACACCUGCUGGAUGCUGCUGUUUUGUUUCUGUUA